rnacentral:rRNA from 1 species
GGAUCAUUAUUGAAUAAACCUGAUGUAGUUGUAGCUGGCUCUCUUGGGGGCAUGUGCACACUCGUCAUCUUUAUCUUUCCACCUGUGCACUUUUUGUAGACCUGGAUAUAUUUCCGAGGCAACUCGGUGGAGAGGAAUGCCGCACGGCUUUCCUUGUAUGUCUAGGCCUAUGUUUUCACAUACCCCAAAAAAUGUAACAGAAUGUAUCAUUUUGGCCCUUGUGCCUAUAAACUAUAUACAACUUUCAGCAACGGAUCUCUUGGCUCUCGCAUCGAUGAAGAACGCAGCGAAAUGCGAUAAGUAAUGUGAAUUGCAGAAUUCAGUGAAUCAUCGAAUCUUUGAACGCACCUUGCGCUCCUUGGUAUUCCGAGGAGCAUGCCUGUUUGAGUGUCAUUAAAUUCUCAACCUUACUAGCUUUUGCUGGUAAUGGCUUGGAUAUGGGGGUCUUUUUGCUGGCUUCGUCAAGAGGUUUGCUCCCCUUAAAUGCAUUAGCCGGUGCCCCGCGUGGACCCGUCUAUUGGUGUGAUAAUUAUCUACGCCGUGGACGUUCACUUUAAAUGGGAUGCAUUGCUUCUAACCGUCUAUUCAGUUAGACAAUCAAUGACAAUUUGACCUCAAAUCAGGUAGGACUA